rnacentral:rRNA from 1 species
UACAGAGGUCUCAAGCGUUGUUCGGAUUCAUUGGGCGUAAAGGGUGCGUAGGUGGCGCCGUAAGUCGGGUGUGAAAUUUCGGAGCUUAACUCCGAAACUGCAUUCGAUACUGCGGUGCUUGAGGACUGGAGAGGAGACUGGAAUUCCUGGUGUAGCGGUGAAAUGCGCAGAUAUCAGGAAGAACACCCGUGGCGAAGGCGGCUCUCUGGGACGGUACUGACGCUGAGACGCGAAAGCGUGGGGAGCGAACAGG